GUGACAUCACAUGUUUAUUAAGGGCACUGAUUGUUGCCAUGGCGAGUAUUGUGCAGUACAAUGAGUGGCUGGAGGAGGAGAACCGGUACAACCAGGCCAAGCUGAGUAUGCAUGACCAGGCUCUGAAGGUGUCAGCAGUGGUAGAAAGUCUGGAGAGGGAGAUGGAGCUUCUGUGUUUGAUUGGGGUUGAGGUCGACAUCAGGCCAAGCCUGGAGCUCCUCAGCAAUGCUGGAAUCAAACUGUGAAUAUAUGGAUGCUUACUGGGGAUAAGCUGGAGACAGCUACUUGUAUCGCUAAAAGCUCCCAUUUGGUGUCCAGAAGUGAAGAUUGGUCUCCAACGGUGGAGAGGCCCAUCUGGAGCUCAAUGCCUUCAGAAGGAAACACGACUGUGCUCUGGUCGUCUCUGGAGACUCCUUGGCGGUACUACAACACAACACACUUCUCACAAGCCUCUCAAGAUGGUACUGUAGAUGUAG
ensembl:lncRNA